AAGUCGUAACAAGGUUUCCGUAGGUGAACCUGCGGAAGGAUCAUUAACACGUAUCCACCUUACAAACUAACCCGAUGCUUGCUUUCUGCGGGUGCAAUAUGUUAUAACUUCUAGUACUUGGCCUUGUGCUUUGAGUGCUUGAAGCGGUGGCAUGUUGCGGCUGGUCUCCAGCAGCCUGCUAAAAGCUUGUGUCACCCUUUUUUACCCCAUAAACCUUAUUUCUAAACCAUGAUGGCUGGCUUGAGCGUCUUCGUGAUGCUCGUCACCUCAUAUUAUAUAAUCAAGAACAACUCUUAGCAACGGAUGUCUUGGUUCUC
rnacentral:misc_RNA from 1 species